UCAAGCAACUAAGCGCAUACGGUGGAUGCCUUGGCAGUCAGAGGCGAUGAAAGACGUGGAAGCCUGCGAUAAGGCUCGGGGAGCUGGCAAACAAGCUGUGAUCCGGGCAUUUCUGAAUGGGGAAACCCACCGACUUUCGGGUCGGUACCUUACACUGAAUCCAUAGGUGUAAGGGGCGAACCGGGGGAACUGAAACAUCUAAGUACCCCGAGGAAAAGAAAUCAACCGAGAUUCCCUAAGUAGCGGCGAGCGAACGGGGACUAGCCCUUAAGCUAGACAACUGGUAGGAGAAGGCUCUGGAAAGUGCCGCCAUAGUGGGUGAUAGCCCCGUAUCCGAAACCUGAGUCUGGUGAAAUCGAGUAGGACGGGACACGUGAUAUCCUGUCUGAACAUGGGGGGACCAUCCUCCAAGGCUAAAUACUCCUGACUGACCGAUAGUGAACCAGUACCGUGAGGGAAAGGCGAAAAGAACCCCUGUGAGGGGAGUGAAAUAGAUCCUGAAACCGUAUGCGUACAAGCAGUCGGAGCGGACUUGUUCCGUGACGGCGUACCUUUUGUAUAAUGGGUCAGCGACUUCGUCUCACGAGCAAGCUUAAGCCGAUAGGUGUAGGCGUAGCGAAAGCGAGUCUGAAUAGGGCGACUGAGUUCGUGGGAUGAGACCCGAAGCCAGGUGAUCUAGCCAUGUGCAGGUUGAAGGUGCGGUAACACGCACUGGAGGACCGAACCCACGUCUGUUGAAAAAGACGGGGAUGACGUGUGGCUAGGGGUGAAAGGCCAAUCAAACCUGGAAAUAGCUGGUUCUCCGCGAAAUCUAUUUAGGUAGAGCGUCAUCCGAAUACCGUCGGGGGUAGAGCACUGGAUGGGCUAGGGGGUCCCAACGACUUACCAAACCUAACCAAACUCCGAAUACCGAUGAGUAAUAGAUGGCAGACACACUGCGGGUGCUAAGGUCCGUAGUGGAGAGGGAAACAGCCCUGACCACCAGCUAAGGUCCCUAAGUUAUCACUAAGUGGGAAACGAUGUGGGAGUGCUUAGACAACCAGGAGGUUGGCUUAGAAGCAGCCAUCCUUUAAAGAAAGCGUAACAGCUCACUGGUCAAGCGCUCCUGCGCGGAAAAUGUAACGGGGCUUAAGUGAUACACCGAAGCUGUGGAUUCAAUCUUAUGAUUGAGUGGUAGCGGAGCGUUCCGUAGGCCGAUGAAGGUGGACCCGCGAGGGCCGCUGGAGGUAUCGGAAGUGAGAAUGCUGACAUGAGUAGCGAUAAAGAGGGUGAGAGACCCUCUCGCCGAAAGUCCAAGGGUUCCUGCGCAAUGCUAAUCAGCGCAGGGUUAGCCGGCCCCUAAGGCGAGGCCGAAAGGCGUAGUCGAUGGGAACCACGUUAAUAUUCGUGGGCCAGCGGGUAGUGACGGAUCUCGUGUGUUGUCAGUCCUUAUCGGAUUGGACUGGCAGCGAAGAGGUCCCUGGAAAUAGCUCCCGCAUUAGACCGUACCCUAAACCGACACAGGUGGACUGGUAGAGCAUACCAAGGCGCUUGAGAGAACUGUGCUGAAGGAACUCGGCAAAUUGCUCCCGUAAGUUCGCGAGAAGGGAGCCUUCGCAUUGGGCAACCAGUGCGGAGGGGCACAGACCAGGGGGUGGCGACUGUUUAUUAAAAACACAGGGCUCUGCGAAGUCGCAAGACGACGUAUAGGGUCUGACGCCUGCCCGGUGCCGGAAGGUUAAAAGGAGGAGUGAGAGCUCCGAAUUGAAGCCCCGGUAAACGGCGGCCGUAACUAUAACGGUCCUAAGGUAGCGAAAUUCCUUGUCGGGUAA
rnacentral:rRNA from 1 species